UACGAAGGGGGCUAGCGUUGUUCGGAUUUACUGGCGUAAAGCGCACGUAGGCGGAUCGUUAAGUCGGGGUGAAAUCCUGGAGCUCAACUCCAGAACUGCCUUUGAUACUGGCGAUCUCGAGUCCGGGAGAGGUGAGUGGAACUGCGAGUGUAGAGGUGAAAUUCGUAGAUAUUCGCAAGAACACCAGUGGCGAAGGCGGCUCACUGGCCCGGUACUGACGCUGAGGUGCGAAAGCGUGGGGAGCAAACAGG
rnacentral:rRNA from 1 species